GGAUUAGAAACCCGGGUAGUCCACGCCGUAAACUAUGGAUGCUAGCUGUUGGAGGUAUCGACCCCUUCUGUAGCGAAGCUAACGCGUUAAGCAUCCCGCCUGUGCAGUACGAUCGCAAGAUUAAAACAUAAAGGAAUUGACGGGGACCCGCACAAGCGGUGGAGCGUGUUCUUUAAUUCGAUGAUAAACGAAGAACCUUACCAGGGCUUGACAUCCCUUGAAUUUUGUCGAAAGACGAGAGUGCUUUAUUGAACAAGGUGACAGGUGAUGCAUGGCCGUCGUCAGCUCGUGUCGUGAGAUGUUUGGUUAAGUCCAUUAACGAGCGCAACCCUUAUGAAUAGCUGGAUUUUUC
rnacentral:rRNA from 1 species